CCUACGGGAGGCAGCAGUGGAGAAUCUUGGACAAUGGGCGAAAGCCUGAUCCAGCGACGCCGCGUGGGUGAUGAAGGUCUUCGGACUGUAAAGCCCUUUCGGGAGGGAAGAAUCCGGUCGCAAGACCGGUUGACUGUACCUCCGGAAGAAGCAGCGGCUAACUCCGUGCCAGCAGCCGCGGUAAAACGGGGGCUGCAAGCGUUGCUCGGAAUUACUGGGUGUAAAGCGCACGUAGGCGUUUUGACAAGUCAUAGCUAAAAUCCUCUGGCUUAACCAGAGAACGGGCUAUGAAACUGUCAUUAUAGAGGAUGGAAGAGGAGAGCGGAAUUCCCGGUGUAGCGGUGAAAUGCGUAGAUAUCAGGAGGAACACCGGUGGUGAAGACGGCUUUCUGGACCGCUGCUGACGCUGAGGCACGAAAGCGUGGGGAGCAAACAGGAUUAGAUACCCUUGUAGU
rnacentral:rRNA from 1 species